CUACCAGACUCCUACGGGAGGCAGCAGUGGGGAAUAUUGCACAAUGGGGGGAACCCUGAUGCAGCGACGCCGCGUGGGCGAGGAAGUAUUUCGGUAUGUAAAGCCCUAUCGGCAGGGAAGAAGAAAUGACGGUACCUGAAUAAGAAGCACCGGCUAAAUACGUGCCAGCAGCCGCGGUAAUACCUAGGGGGCAAGCGUUAUCCGGAUUUACUGGGUGUAAAGGGAGCGUAGACGGUCCUGCAAGCCAGAUGUGAAAGCCCGGGGCUCAACCCCGGGACUGCAUUUGGAACUGUAAGGCUAGAGUGUCGGAGAGGCAGGCGGAAUUCCUAGUGUAGCGGUGAAAUGCGUAGAUAUUAGGAGGAACACCAGUGGCGAAGGCGGCCUGUUGGACGAUGACUGACGUUGAGGCUCGAAAGCGUGGGGAGCAAACAGGAUUAGAUACCCGGGUAC
rnacentral:rRNA from 1 species